UACUUAUUAGUGUAAAGAGCACAAAAAGCUUUGAUCUUUUAAGAAAUGGUGCGACUCCAUUGUAAGUAA
rnacentral:tRNA from 1 species